AUUAUCUGGAGGGAAAAGGGUGGGGAUGACCGUCCAGAUAUCAAUCCAUGGCCCCCUUAAGACCCUGGGGCUUACCACCACGUUGGCUAACAAAUGGGCGGUAUUACAACCGAGUUGGCCAACCUGCCGAAAGGGUGGAGGCUAAUCUCCUUAAAAGUACGUCUCCAGUUCGGGACCGCCAGUUCUGCAAACUCGACUGGCACGAAGUCGGAAUCGCUAGUAAUCGCGGGAUUCAGCACGCCGCGUGAAUACGUCCGUCUGUACACACGCCGUCACGGCAUGGAGUUGUAUGCCCAAAACGGUGCCUGAACUUACGGGAGGGAGCCUCUAAGCAAGACAGAGACUGGUGCAUAUGACCUAAUGCAG
rnacentral:rRNA from 1 species